AAAAAUCCAUAACUCGUGUUAACCCGUGACAAAUACUUUAUCGAAAAAAACUCAACGAUGGCCUACGCCCAACUCUUGACGCUUGUGCUGUGCUCUUUCUUCAUUCAGGAUGCGUUGUCUGGUGCAACGCUACAAAUGCGUGGUUCGCGGAAAGUUGCAGAAGACGCGGACGUAAGCGCAACGCCGUCGAUGAAGCGAUUAGCAAGAGAACCAACGGAAAUGUCUGUACCGGUUACACGAGCCGGAUCUGAAGCCAGGGUUGGAGUGAGAAAGAAAACAGCACCGGCAGAGGUGUCCACGAAGCCGACCGCGAGAAGGACGAUGAGACAGACUACGUCGAAGAAAGUGGCCCCGCCACCUCCCAAGUACCCGAACCUAGCCAAAGUGGAGAACAUGAUCUGGGAGACGGCGGAGGACAUAAACAGAACCAACGAGAGCGGUAAGCUAAUUGUGAGGUCGGUGCGAAACGCGAUCGAAGAUUUUCUGACCAGCAGAAAGUUCUGGUACACGCUGGUGGGGAUCAUCAAGAGACGGGCAAAGUUGACCAACAACAAGGAACGGGUUGACAAGGUGAUCGGCGCCAGCAACGCGCUGACCUCGAUAUUGUUAGGGCCGAUGGCGGCCCGUGGCUUGGAGAAACUUGCUCACGACGUUUACGACACGGCCGUCACAGCCAAUCCGGGCAUGUGCACGGAAGCGCUGUCGCUGGCCACCAACAUCGUCAACGGCAACCAAGUGACCGACGGCCUGAGAGCGGUAAACUCCAUCGUCACCAACAUCGAAAUCCACCCGGAUAUGGUGACCCAGGCGUUCGCCAAAUUAAUCAAGUAUAUCAGUUUAAACGGCUCCAUAUCCAUGAGCCAAGGUAUGGCCAACGGUUUCUUGGCUGUCUCUUCGAGACUGAACAGGAGGGUGUAACGCCGCUGUCGCAAUUAUUACGUAACAUCUUAACAGCGUAAACAAGUGCUUAGGGCUCGAAAUAGAUCGGAACGUACCAGAACGCAGUUCCGGUUCACGACAAAAUUUUUUUUAACGUUCCGGAUCG
rnacentral:misc_RNA from 1 species